AUUGAACGCUGGCGGCAGGCCUAACACAUGCAAGUCGAGCGCGCGGCGGACGGGUGAGUAAUGUAUGGGGAUCUGCCUGAUGGAGGGGGAUAACUACUGGAAACGGUGGCUAAUACCGCAUACCAUCGGAGGAACCCAUAUGGGAUUAGCUAGUUGGUGGGGUAAAGGCUCACCUAGGCGACGAUCUCUAGCUGGUCGGAGAGGAUGAUCAGCAACACUGGGACUGAGACACGGCCCAGACUCCGACGGGAGGCAGCAGUGGGGAAUAUUGCACAAUGGGCGCAAGCCUGAUGCAGCCAUGCCGCGUGUAUGAAGAAGGCCUUAGGGUUGUAAAGUACUUUCAGCGGGGAGGCGUUACCCGCAGAAGAAGCACCGGCUAACUCCGUGCCAGCAGCCGCGGUAAUAC
rnacentral:rRNA from 1 species